UGCCUACGGGGGGCAGCAGUAGGGAAUCUUCCACAAUGGGCGAAAGCCUGAUGGAGCAACGCCGCGUGGGUGAAGAAGGUCUUCGGAUCGUAAAACCCUGUCGUUAGAGAAGAAAGUGCGUGAGAGUAACUGUUCACGUUUCGACGGUAUCUAACCAGAAAGCCACGGCUAACUACGUGCCAGCAGCCGCGGUAAUACGUAGGUGGCAAGCGUUAUCCGGAUUUAUUGGGCGUAAAGGGAACGCAGGCGGUCUGUUAAGUCAGCGGUCAAAGCCCGGGGCUCAACCCGGGCCCGCCGUUGAAACG
rnacentral:rRNA from 1 species